rnacentral:rRNA from 1 species
GUAGCAAUACUGAGUGGCAGACGGGUGAGUAACAUGUGGGAAUCUGCCUUGUGGUUCAGGACAACAUUGGGAAACCGAUGCUAAUACUGGAUAAGCCCUUACGGGGAAAGUUUUAAUGCCAUAAGAUGAGCCCGCAUUUGAUUAGUUAGUUGGUGAGGUAAUGGCUCACCAAGACAAUGAUCAAUAGCUGAUCUGAGAGGAUGAUCAGCCACACUGGGACUGAGACACGGCCCAGACUCCUACGGGAGGCAGCAGUGGGGAAUCUUGCACAAUGGAGGAAACUCUGAUGCAGCGAUGCCGCGUGAGUGAAGAAGGCCUUUGGGUUGUAAAGCUCUUUUGUAGGGGAAGAUAAUGACUGUACCCUAAGAAUAAGGUCCGGCUAACUUCGUGCCAGCAGCCGCGGUAAUACGAAGGGACCUAGCGUAGUUCGGAAUUACUGGGCGUAAAGCGCGCGUAGGCCGUUGAGUUAGUUAAUUGUGAAAUCCCAAAGCUUAACUUUGGAACUG